rnacentral:rRNA from 1 species
UACGUAGGGUGCAAGCGUUGUCCGGAAUUAUUGGGCGUAAAGAGCUCGUAGGCGGUUUGUCGCGUCUGCUGUGAAAACUCAGGGCUUAACUCUGAGCUUGCAGUGGGUACGGGCAGACUAGAGUGCGGUAGGGGAGACUGGAAUUCCUGGUGUAGCGGUGAAAUGCGCAGAUAUCAGGAGGAACACCGGUGGCGAAGGCGGGUCUCUGGGCCGUAACUGACGCUGGAGGAGCGGAAA